UGGGGAAUAUUGGACAAUGGGGGCAACCCUGAUCCAGCAAUGCCGCGUGUGUGAAGAAGGUCUUCGGAUUGUAAAGCACUUUCGACGGGGACGAUGAUGACGGUACCCGUAGAAGAAGCCCCGGCUAACUUCGUGCCAGCAGCCGCGGUAAUACGAAGGGGGCUAGCGUUGCUCGGAAUGACUGGGCGUAAAGGGCGUGUAGGCGGUUUACACAGUCAGAUGUGAAAUCCCCGGGCUUAACCUGGGAGCUGCAUUUGAUACGUGUAGACUAGAGUGUGAGAGAGGGUUGUGGAAUUCCCCAGUGUAGAGGUGAAAUUCG
rnacentral:rRNA from 1 species